rnacentral:ncRNA from 2 species
ACAGAUUCAACCACCUGCGGUAUACUAACACGGCUGGUGGAUUCAAGGGAAGCGCCGUGAGAAUCGGCCGCGGUCGCCGCCACUGUAACCUCUCCCUCUUUUUUGAAAAAGGGAACCCUUUUGGCAAGUAUGAACGCCACUGCCCGCACCUACAUGUAGGUGCGGGAUGGGAAGGCAGCUAAAAGGGUGGGGAAGCCAGGAGACCUAUCCUCAGCCACAAUCAAGUC